AGUGCUUCUUUGCCUUUGGGCUAAGAUCACUAUUUUUAACAGUGUAACAUCUGAUGCUUCUUCUAUCUAACAACAUAUUAAAUGGGCCCCAUUGGGGGUGCUUGCUCUCUCUCACAUGUGCAUGCAUGCGUGUCCUCUGGCAUAAUAAAGGAAAAAAAUUAAUGGAUUUUUGGAGCAGGGAGCUGUAGAGUAGAAGUUUGUUCCAUCUACGCUGCACGUUAAUCUGGUAUUGCGAUACAUCUAGGAGUGGUGCAAUUCUU
rnacentral:snRNA from 1 species